rnacentral:rRNA from 1 species
UACGUAGGGUGCAAGCGUUGUCUGGAAUUAUUGGGCGUAAAGAGCUCGUAGGCGGUCUGUCGCGUCUGCUGUGAAAAUCCAGGGCUCAACCCUGGACCUGCAGUGGGUACGGGCAGACUAGAGUGCGGUAGGGGAGAUCGGAAUUCCUGGUGUAGCGGUGAAAUGCGCAGAUAUCAGGAGGAACACCGGUGGCGAAGGCGGAUCUCUGGGCCGUAACUGACGCUGAGGAGCGAAAGCAUGGGGAGCGAACAGG